GUGGCUCACGCGCGAGAGAGCGGUGGCUGCUCCAGCAUCCAGAGCAAGGGAGAGGCCGGAGCGGCGUGUGUCCCGCCGGGCUCCCCACAGCGCCCGGCCCGGGCUCAGCGCUACAGGACCCCCCGCCCGCCCCGGCAUUCGAUAACGAACGAGGGAGCCCAGACCCACUUCCUGAGCUCUGAGACUGUUCAAUCAAGUCUUUCAGGGAUUCCCCUGGAGGAAUGUGCUGUCGACUGAGUCCUCUGGACAGUGGUGAUUGCAGUGACACUGCAGUGGCUUCUGGGGAGGAGCAGGUGCUGUACUCUCACCAUCUUCCUUUCUGUUCUCCAAGUUCAACUGUCCAGAACUCCGCAAAUACGGUUUGUCUAGACCACUGGCUACAAAAGAAAGAAGAAAUAAAACUAAGAUGGAGUAUUAUUUGGGGAAACCGUCGGGUGCAUUUACAUUGAUAGCUGAGUUUUGGCAGUCAGCUUGAAGACCUGAUUUUUAAGAUGCGAUAGUCCGCUUGCUAGCUAACUGCCACAUGGUGAAAACAACCAACCAAAGGAAAAGGACCAAGACUAUUUCAUAAAAUUAUUUGCCAUCUUUUCUGAAAGCAUACUACUUCAAAAAAAGUCUUUGAAAGAUGGCACAUUUAUAAGGAACGACGGUAUGCGUAUAAAGCAAAUUACUUUAAGCACAUUUAUCUGCUAUUAAAAAAACCAUUUUCUCAAUUAUUGCACUUGCUUUCAUACAGUGGUAUUGUAAACAUGUGAAUUUCAUGUAGCUGCCUUAUCACACUCUCAACAAGGUAUAAUGCGACUGUGUCUCUGCUGUCAGUCAUUCACAAUUCUUCCUUAUUACAACCUCUGCUUAUUGCGCUUUCUGAC